rnacentral:rRNA from 1 species
UACGAAGGGGGCUAGCGUUGCUCGGAAUUACUGGGCGUAAAGCGCACGUAGGCGGCUCUUUAAGUCGGAGGUGAAAUCCUGGAGCUCAACUCCAGAACUGCCUUCGAUACUGAAGAGCUCGAGUCCGGGAGAGGUGAGUGGAACUGCGAGUGUAGAGGUGAAAUUCGUAGAUAUUCGCAAGAACACCAGUGGCGAAGGCGGCUCACUGGACCGGCAUUGACGCUGAGGUGCGAAAGCGUGGGGAGCGAACAGG